UAGCUUCGGUCAGCCCCUGUGCAUACGAGCUAAGGGCAGGGCUAGUGUUGGGUUGGAAGGGGGCGACGUAGGAGGUACAGACAAGAGUGUCCGUAUGCGAACGCUUUCGAUCGGGCGACGAGCUAGCAGCUGCUGGAGCUGGUCCUUCGCUUAAUUCGCGGCCGGCCCGCGCCGCCGUACGAUCCCGGCAGCCAGUUCGCCGACCGCGCCGACCGGCGGUGCUCCGGCGACCUCUUCCGGCCCUACCGCGACCAGGAGCGGCGGUGCGACCGGAGGCGGCGGCGGCGCGACGACGACGAGCGGACGGGGCGCAGCGGGGCGACGAGCUGCCGGCAGCCCAGGCGGGACAGCCGCGGGUCCUUCGAGACCCCGACGCCCCGGAGGCGCAGCCGCGGGCCACGCCACCGCGCCCUGACGCUGAAGAAGCUGCCCCUCACCCACGCCCUGCUGUCGAUGGGCGAGAUGCUCAGGUUCCUGACGGGCAAGGAGCUGCCGCCCAAGGCCACGAGCCUCUUGCCGGCGGGGCUGCGGAGGAUGUGGUCUACCGCCACCGUCGGCAGCACGACGCUACGCUAGAGGGGUCCAAAGUACGAUUCUCAUACGAUCUCUCCGAUGCUUUGUUUUCUCACCAUAAGCAGCCGCUAAGCUAACCUUCCUUGGUUACCCUCAGAGACGAAACAUACGAGAGAUGACGACAGGGUCUGUUCUCGAAGUAGAUACUCUAGUUACCGUCUGGGUAGUGUUUCGUACUACCCAAGAAAUAUAAGUUCAAGUCUCUGAUGUUAACGUGACAGCUCAUAAUGUCCAGGGGCAAAGAUCAGGGCGUUCCAGUACCUGGCCGACCUCGGGGGUUCAAACAAUUCUCAUGCCAGUCCCACCUAAGGUACCUAACCUACAGACCGGCCACAUUCACCUCCCUACGACUAGACAAUUAGAAGUUGAGACCCGUAACCACCUGUUUUCUGUUUUGUUAACCUACCCCACGCAUAAAGGUUCUUCCCUUACUCCACUUCUACUUAUACUCGCAGUCGCUACGUAUGUCUUCUAGUUAUUUUUGUGACAAGCUGACCGAAGUCUUUUUACAAUUACGUUUGUUCUGGGUCCGGUAGAAGGCUUGGAUAAGAGGAUGCGUGAAGUCGCCACCACUGACCUUAAGACCUCCCAAAACAGUCGUUCUUUGUGAAGGUCUGUACUGUGGCAAGUUUAGCGACCUCGUUACCCGGCUGUACGACUUCGGGCACUUGCUACAAGAUCCCUCGGUAGUGUCCGGGUCCGACGGACCCAACCUAUAUGACUUGCACUGGGCCUACUGCCGGGUUGCUUUUCUGCCGGUGGAGAGUCACAAGUCUUCAGGAAACUCAAGUUCCGUUCGGGUAUGCUUGUUCUGUAGUCUUUAGUUUCUCCAUCUCCUAACGUCGGUGACCACGGACGGACCUCAGGGACUACAGACCUUACUCGAAGAGAUGCGGGAGAAGUACUUUUCCGUCUAGUACAACCUCGUUUGUUACGGAGGCAAAGACCGAGUUCUUGUGACUAUCCGUUUAAUGUCCCCUAUAUAGAUGAACUAACGACUUCUCCUUUAAUUUCAGGUCGUCCAGAGUACUGUUCCCCAAAGACAAUUAUCCUUAGUUACUCCCGACACCGGAGCUAAUAGUCACACUUAUCGUGUUUUGAUGAGUACGUGGGAAACAAAUGGCUUUUUACCCUUAAAGCGACUGCGUUUGCAACCUAGUUCUACUAUGUGUGGGUGUUUCUCAAAUAUGUGCCUGUGGACAUUUAUAUGUUGCACUUUCUGUAGUAUCGUUAAAUAUAACAGUUUUAUAAAGAGUAGUAUUUAGAUUAUUCAAAGUAAAACGG
rnacentral:rRNA from 1 species